rnacentral:lncRNA from 1 species
CGUUUGGAAAUGUCGGUUGAGAAGUUAAUUGUCUACAUUACCUCAGGCAAUUAAGGAACAACGAAAAUGGAGUGUAAACUAUACUGUUUUGCCUUGGUGUUUUUAACUAUUACCACAGCAUGUACAGAUGCCCUUGAUUGUUACACGUGUACCAACGCUACCUAUGUGUCCGAAUGCAAUCUGUGUGUGAGAGAUUUUGCGGAU